rnacentral:rRNA from 1 species
AGGACGAACGCUGGCGGCGUGCUUAACACAUGCAAGUCGAGCGGAAAGGCCACUUCGGUGGUACUAGAGCGGCGAACGGGUGAGUAACACGUGAGUAAUCUGCCCUCCACUUUGGGAUAGCCACCGGAAACGGUGAUUAAUACCGGAUAUGACCUGAUGCCGCAUGGUGUUUGGUGGAAAGUUUUUCGGUGGGGGAUGUGCUCGCGGCCUAUCAGCUUGAUGGUGGGGUAAUGGCCUACCAUGGCUUCGACGGGUAGCCGGCCUGAGAGGGUGACCGGCCACACUGGGACUGAGACACGGCCCAGACUCCUACGGGAGGCAGCAGUGGGGAAUAUUGGACAAUGGGCGGAAGCCUGAUCCAGCAACGCCGCGUGAGGGAUGACUGCCUUCGGGUUGUAAACCUCUUUCGGUGGGACGAAGCGUGAGUGACGGUACCACUAAAGAGCACCGGCCAACUACGUGCCAGCAGCCGC